CUCUCUCUCUCUCUCUCUCUCUCUCUCUCUCUCCCAUCUCUUUAGUCUCUUUAUUUACUUUACUUUUUAGUUACUUUUUAGUACUAGCAAGUAGCAACUUGCAAUUAAUACACACACCACCAACAUAAUGUCUUCUUCCCCAUCUUCCUCUUUGUAACCCAAGUCGAAUGACUCGGGUUGGAAAUAUGAGCACUAUCGUAGUGUUUUGGAUAAGACUCACAUAGUAUGUGAGUUAUGUGGGUAUGUGGGUUCCGGUGGCAUUGCAAGGCACAAGUAAUACCUUGCACAUUUACCGGGAUCAAAUGCAAAAGCAUGCGAUAAAAUUACUUUAGAAAUCCGAAGGGAGAUCAUGGAGUAUAUGGAAAAACAAUCAAGAAGGAGAUGCGAUGUGCCCUACGUCAGGAGGAAUAUUUGGAACAAGACACAUAUGAAGAUAUAAACGUAGCUAAUAUAGAUGAAGCUAGUCCCACUUCCCCUACUUCGAUAGGCCGGUCUAGACCACAAGUACAACCAACGGUCUCGAAAAGAGCCCGAGGGCAUGAACCCAUGGAUAGAUGGUGUAGACCACAUCCUGAGGAUGUUGUUGACCAAAGGGGUUGAGGCAAAGGGCCGGCUCAAACAAGUUUAUAAAACCGUUAUAAACAAAAAAAAAUAGGAAAAUCACUAUUCAAUAUAUUGCUAAGUGGUUUUACCAAACUGACAUUGUUUUCAACGUUGUUAAAUCGAGAAGCUUCAAAGUUAUGGUUGAAGCUAUAGGUUAAUUUGGACCUGGGCUUAAACCUGAUUCAUAUCAUGAAAUGAGGGAGACAUGCCUGAAAACCGAAGUUGAUUAUACACGAUCCUUUAUAACUGAAUAUAAGGAAUCGUGGAAAACAUGUGGGUGUUCACUAAUGGCCGAUGGAUGGAUCGAUAGAUCCGAGCGGUCUCUCAUUAACUUUUUGGUAAAUUGUCCAGCUUGGACAAUGUUCUUGAAGUCCGUGGAUGCAUCGGGUCAUUUACAUGCAGGAGAAUACUUGUUUAGCUUACUAGAUAAUGUAGUUGAGGAAAUAGGUGAGAAAUACAUUAUACAAGUAAUUACAGAUAACACAGCCUCGUAUGUAAUAGUCGGUCAUCUUCUUAUGGAGAAGAGGUAUCGUUUAUUUUGGAACCCCCCUGUGCGACCCAUUGUGUUGAUCUUAUGUUAGAAGAUAUAAGUAAGUUAUUUAUAAAUGUGAUCGCAAGGGCUAGAAGAAUCACAGUCUUCAUGUACAAACACGCUCUUUUUCUCAAUCGAAUGAGAAAACACAUUGGGGGUAACUCACUACGUCUAGUAGUCACUCGUUUUGCUACAGCCUUUUUAACACUACAAAGAUUACAUACAAAAAAAUUAGAACUUAGAAGCUUUGUAGUGUCGACUGAUUUUACAAGUGGGCCUUGGUCAAAGAAGGCUGAAGGGAAACAGGUUCAACAAAUAAUCAUUUCGCAAAGUUUUUGGACACAAGUUGUAAAGGUGUUAAAAGCAUCCGAGCCUUAGUCACUAUGUUGCGAUUGAUGGAUGGGGAUGAAAAGCCUACAAUGAGUUACAUAUAUGAUGCGAUGGAAAAGGCGAAAAAUAAGAUCAUAGACGAUUUUAACUAGAGAGACCGUGAUUACAAGCCAAUUAUAAAUAUUAUAGAUAGAAGAUGGGGCAGCCAAAUGUCAUCUCCAUUAUAUUUGGUUGCUUACAUCCUUAACCCAACUUUAUUCACUUCUGCUGAUCCAGUAGAAGCACACUUAUUAUGCAUAUGGUUGGAUUUAUUGAUGUGUUGGAAAGAAUGAUUCCAAAUAGAGAAGAACACGACAAGAUCUCAACUUUACUGGACUUCUAUACAAAAAGUGAGGGUAUAUUCUCAAGGGAUAUCGUCAUCAGGUAUCAGACAAUGAAAUUACCCACUGAUUGGUGGGUUGCUUAUGAGGUGGACCCGAACAGGAAGGAUUCAACUCUAAAGAAGCUAGCUAUGAUGAUUCUUGGACUCAUGUGUUUUGUUAGUGGUUGCGAGUGCAAUUGGAGCACGUUCGAGGCAAUUCAUAUCAAGAAAAGGAAUCGCCUUAAGCAAAAAAAGCUCAACGACUUGGUUUUUGUCCAAUACAAUAAAAAAAUUGCGAGAACGAUUCCAAAUUAGGAAAGAAAAGCCUGGUUUCUUUGACCCUAUCAACUUAGAUGAGUUGGAUGCAGAUAAUGAGUGGCUCGUAAAGACGAAAGACCCGAUAUUUGAUGGAGAGGACCUGACAUGGACGCAAGUUGAAGAUGUCGUACACGGAUUGACGCCUGGAGAAGGUACCACUCGAAAGCGAAGGGGGGGGGAGGAGUCGGGGGGCGAGUAGUAGCCGUCAACCCAUUGAAGAGAUUGAGGAGAUGGAAGAAGGAGAUGAUAAUGAUCAAGCUGAAGAUUCACCGUUGGAUGUCGAUGAAGUAUUAGUACAUAUGGAUGAUGAAGAAACGGAAGAAGAAGAAGUGUAUGUGGAAGAAGGAGAUGAUUCAGAUGAUGAUG